rnacentral:ncRNA from 1 species
AUCGGGCAGGGCGGCCAAUACACCACCCUCCAGGGGAAUACGCCCGCCGUUUGUUGGCGGUUUCUAACCGCCCGACUUCCCGUC